UGAAAGAUAAACAUUUAAGAAAAUUUAAAAAACCCCACAAAGGCUCAACGUCUUCAGGGACAGAAAUGCAGGUAGGCUCUCUUUCCAAAUGAAUAAACAUAACUGAGACCUUCCUUCUUGUCCUACUUUUGAUUGCUUAUCAGGCUCUCAGGGAGGCCUAGGAGUGUGGUAGUCUGGAGACCGUCUCAGCUGUUGUGAGAACUGAGUGAACUGACAAGAGGUAAAGUUCUUAGCACAGCCCUCCCUCAGAGUAAGCGCUCAGUCACCGUGAGCCAUUACUGUCCAGAGCUACAGGACACAGGGGAGCGGGCCUUAUUACCACGUGGCCUUCGUCCCUCGGUGCCAGCAGCCUGGCUCGCCUGCCUCAGGGGGCUGCUUUCGUUUCGGGAGACCAAGUGUAGAAGCCCGUCUGCUAAAUUUUUGUUGGAUUGAUUUCUGUCAUCGCUCGAUGAGCUUUCCAGACAGCCCUGUGAGCGUGUGCAUGUUUUAUGCAUAUAAUAGAUACUUGAUACUGCUUAAUUAAGUUUUGUGUUGCCUUCUGGAAAGCCAGUGGCUCAGCCAAGCCCAGCACCUGGGCAUGGGAGGCGUACAGCCUCAGCUAUGGGGGGAGCACCCGCUGGUAUCUGGGAGGAGCUGCUCUCCUCUGCUAUGUAGCAGCUAGACCUCCGCUCCCUUGGGUUUCCCCUGCUUGCCAACUCGCUAACCUUUCCUAGACGGGAACUUGUGUCAGGUGGAUCCAGUUUUCACAGUGAGGAAAAUCUAUUGUCUUGAGGCUCAUUGUCCAGCUUUCAUAGAGGACGGAGCCGACCUCUCAGGGUUGAUUAGAAUCACGGUCCGAUCGGAAGGCUGUGGUGUGGCGCACACGCAGAACCGGCCCGAGUUCACCUUCACGGCGUUGGGCAGUUUUCAUCAUCAUGUGAAUCGGACGAUUUCAGAUGUGCCAAUUAGCCUGUGUCAGGAGCAUGCUGAAAUGGGAGGAGCGAGGAGUUUGGCCGUGCCAUUGCUGAUGAGUUUUUCCGAGCGCAGACAUGGCCUUUCCGGGGACUUGGGGAUACGAGGUAAAGCUUGCCGUACAUUGGCUUUUUUUCUUCCGCUACCCUUUAAAGGAAAACAGGCAAACAGCAGUUGCCUUAGCUCUUACUUGGAAUUUAUUAGCGAAAAGCAUGUUUUAGAAUGUGCGCUGAGUCCCUCUUUGUGUGGUCAGCCCAAACUCCUGCACCGUCUGUCCCUGCGAUACUGUGUCAUCGUAACGCACAUGAAUCCUUAUGGUGCGUGGCACACUUACUUAUUCCAGAUUAUAAACUACUUGUGGAUGAGCCUGACAUGCCUUUCGGUACCUUACAUGGGAUCUCGCCUAUGAAAUACCCAGAAAUGAAAUGGAAGAUGGAACUGUCUUAUCAUCAUAUAGAUGCAAAAAAUACAAAUAGUGUUUCGAAGGAUUUUCAGCCACCAAAGUUUGAAAACCAGAAAUUAUAAUGGAUCGGACAUCCCCAUUUCCUGAACACUUGAGUUAAGAAAUAUUUCUGUUCUUAGUGGUAACAGCACCUACUGUGUUCUAGGCACUUUAUGAAAUAGUGUGUCGUAUAAUCUUCACAACAUCCUUGGAGCAUAGAAGUUUUCAUCCUCUAAAAAUUUUUAGCAGUGCCCGAGAGAAAUCACACUUCUUGACUUCAAAACUUAUUACAAGUCUACAGUAAUCCAGACAGUGUGGUGCUGGCAUAAAAGCAGACAUAUAUAGAUCAGUGAACUAGAAUUGAGAGUCUAGAAAGAAACCCUUACAUUUAUGGUCUACUGACUUUUGACACGGAUACUAAGACAGUGUAAUGGGGGAAAGAAUCGUCUUUUUAAUAAAUGAUGCUGGGACAACUGGAUAUCCAACAUAAUGAAUUUGGGCUGUUAGCUCAUAUGUGUCACAUACAAAAAUUAACUGAAGGUGGAUCCAUGACCUCUAUACCAGAACUAAAACUAUAAAACACUUAAAAGAUAGGUGUAAAUCUUCAUUAUGUGGAGUAAGAAGUGUUUCCUAGAUAGGACACCAAAAGCAGAAGCAACAACAACAAAAAUGGGUAAAUUAAUACUUCAUCAAAACCAAUAAGUUUCGUGCUUCAAAGGAUACCAUCAAGACAAUGAAAAGACCAUCCAUAGAAGAGGAAAUUUUUUUUUUUUUUUUUUUUGUAGAGCUGAUCAGGAACUAAUCUCAAAUAUGUUUUAAAACACCACUCAGCAAUUAAAAUAUAAUCCAACUGAACAUAGACAAGGACUCCAAAUACACAUUUCUCCAAAGAAGAUAAACACGUGCCAGAUAGGCACUCGAAAAGAUGCUCAUUUGUUGGCCAACGUGGAAAUGCGUAUCAGAGCCACAGUGAGCUGUCACUUCGUGCCUGCUGGGACGGCUGUAAUGCAAAGAUGGGUCAUCAGUGCUGGUGAAAGUGUGGAGAAUUGGAGCCCUCACACACUACUGGUUGGCAAUGAAAAAUGGUGCAGCUGCUUUGGGAAAUAGGCUGGCAGUUCCUUAAAAGGUUGAAAUGCAGUUACCAUAUGAGCGGGCAAUUGUCCUCCUAGGUGUAUACCCAGGAGAACUGCCAGUGUGUGUCCACACCUUGCACGUGGCUAUUCAGGGCAGCCUUAUUCAUGUUAGCCAAAAAGAGGAAAAGACCGAAACGUUCAUCAACUGAUGAGUGUAUAAACAGAACGUAGGCUAUCCAAACAGUGGUGUAAUAUGUAGCCAUAAGAAGGAAUGGAGUACUGAUACGUGCCACAGUAUGGUUGAACCUUGAAAACAUUAGGAUAAAUUACCAAAAGCCAGGUAGUGUGUUAUUGCCUUCCUGUCAGAUUUCCACAACAGACACAUCUGUGGAGACAGAAAGCAGAUUAGUGGUUGCCUCGGGCAAGGGGGGGAAGGGCUUGAGGGGAAGUGGAAAGUGGCUGCUAAAAGGGUGCUGGGUUGUUUUGGGGGGUGGGGAUGAUGAAAAUGUCCUAAAAUUGAUUAUGGCGAUUGUUGCACAGUUCUAUGAAUAUACUAAAACCACCAAAUGUACUUUAUUAUUUUUUAUAGUUUAUUGGGGGGGGGGGAGAGAGAGAGAGAGAGAGAGAAAGAGAAA